CCCGAAACCAGGUGAGCUACCCCGAGACAGCCUAUGUUAAUUUAGGGCUAACCCGUCUCUGUGGCAAAAGAGUGGGAAGAGCUCCGGGUAGAAGUGACAGACCUACCGAACCUGGUGAUAGCUGGUUGCCUGAAAAAUGGAUAGAAGUUCAGCCUCGCACCCCCCGAUCCAACAAAUAUAUCGUCAAGAUGCUCAGAGAGACAUGCGAGAGUUAGUUAAAAGGGGUACAGCCCUUUUAACAAAGGAUACAACCUUCACAGGAGGAUAAAGAUCAUAAUAUAUAAGAUAUACUGUUCUAGUGGGCCUGAAAGCAGCCACCUAAGCAGAAAGCGUUAAAGCUCGGACAGAGAGAAGUUUAUUAUACUGAUAAGAAAUCUUAUUCCCCUAACUGUAUCAGGCCAACCCAUGCCCCCAUGGAAGAGAUUAUGCUAAAAUGAGUAAUAAGAAGACACGCUCUUCUCCCGGCACACGUGUAAACCAGAUCGGACUGACCACUGGAACUUAACGAACCCAACCCAAGAGGGUAGUGUGAUUAAUAUAAACCUCAAGAAGACCUCACACCAACUGAUCGUUAACCCCACACUGGAGUGCUAUUUCAAGGGAAAGACUAAAAGAGGAGGAAGGAACUCGGCAAACACAAGCCUCGCCUGUUUACCAAAAACAUCGCCUCCUGCAACUAGACUGAGUAUAGGAGGUCCAGCCUGCCCAGUGACUACGGGUUCAACGGCCGCGGUAUCUUGACCGUGCAAAGGUAGCGCAAUCACUUGUCUCUUAAAUAGAGACCUGUAUGAAUGGCUAGACGAGGGCUUAACUGUCUCCCCCCUCCAGUCAGUGAAAUUGAUCUAUCCGUGCAGAAGCGGGUAUAAAUAUACAAGACGAGAAGACCCUUUGGAGCUUAAGGUACAAAGUUCAACCACGUUAAACAACCCCAUAAAAGGCAAGAACUUAGUAGCAAUGAAAUUUUACCUUCGGUUGGGGCGACCGCGGAGGAAAAACAAGCCUCCGAGUGGACUGGGCCAAACCCCUGAAGCCAAAAGAAACAUCUAGAAGCCGCAGAAUAUCUGACCAAAAAUGAUCCGGCUAAAAGCCGAUCAACGAACCAAGUUACCCAAGGGAUAACAGCGCAAUCCCCUCCCAGAGCCCGUAUCGACGAGGGGGUUUACGACCUCGAUGUUGGAUCAGGACAUCCUAAUGGUGC
rnacentral:rRNA from 1 species